AGAGGUUGAUCCUGGCUCAGGAUGAACGCUAGCGACAGGCUUAACACAUGCAAGUCGAGGGGCAGCGGGGCGCUGAGGCAACUCAGCGCCGCCGGCGACCGGCGCACGGGUGAGUAACACGUAUGCAACCUGCCCCCGGCAGGGGGAUAACCCGGAGAAAUCCGGCCUAAUAUCCCAUGACGCGCCCAGAGGACAUCCUCCGGGCGCCAAAGGAGGCGACUCCGGCCGGGGCUGGGCAUGCGGCGCAUUAGCCAGUUGGCGGGGCAACGGCCCACCAAGGCGACGAUGCGUAGGGGUUCUGAGAGGAAGGUCCCCCACAUUGGAACUGAGACACGGUCCAAACUCCUACGGGAGGCAGCAGUGAGGAAUAUUGGUCAAUGGCCGCAAGGCUGAACCAGCCAAGUCGCGUGAAGGACGAAGGCCCUACGGGUCGUAAACUUCUUUUGCCGGGGAGCAAGCCCCACCACGCGUGGAGGGGCCGAGAGUACCCGGAGAAAAAGCAUCGGCUAACUCCGUGCCAGCAGCCGCGGUAAUACGGAGGAUGCAAGCGUUAUCCGGAUUUAUUGGGUUUAAAGGGAGCGCAGGCGGGAGAGAAAGCCAGCCGUCAAAUGUGCCAGCUCAACUGGCGCUCGCGGUUGGAACUGUUCUUCUUGGGUGCACAAGAGGGAGGCGGAAUUCGUGGUGUAGCGGUGAAAUGCAUAGAUAUCACGAAGAACUCCGAUUGCGAAGGCAGCCUCCUGGGGUGUUACCGACGCUCAUGCUCGAAGGCGCGGGUAUCAAACAGGAUUAGAUACCCUGGUAGUCCGCGCAGUAAACGAUGAGUGCUCGCGGUGCGUCCCUUGUGGAUACACCGCCAAGCGAAAGCGUUAAGCACUCCACCUGGGGAGUACGCCGGCAACGGUGAAACUCAAAGGAAUUGACGGGGGCCCGCACAAGCGGAGGAACAUGUGGUUUAAUUCGAUGAUACGCGAGGAACCUUACCCGGGCUUGAAAUGUGACAGACGGCAGGCAGAGACGCCUGCUUCCUUCAGGCUGUCAUGUAGGUGCUGCAUGGUUGUCGUCAGCUCGUGCCGUGAGGUGUUGGCUUAAGUGCCAUAACGAGCGCAACCCUUUCCGCCGGUUACCAUCAGGUUAUGCUGGGGACUCCGGCGGCACUGCCGCCGCAAGGCGUGAGGAAGGUGGGGAUGACGUCAAAUCAGCACGGCCCUUACGUCCGGGGCCACACACGUGUUACAAUGGGGGGCACAGCGAGUUGGCGGCCGGUGACGGCCGUCGGAUCAACAAAUCCCCUCCCAGUUCGGAUCGGAGCCUGCAACCCGGCUCCGUGAAGCUGGAUUCGCUAGUAAUCGCGCAUCAGCCAUGGCGCGGUGAAUACGUUCCCGGGCCUUGCACUCACCGCCCGUCA
rnacentral:rRNA from 1 species